UACGGCCACAUCACGUUGAAACACCGCUUCCCGUACGAUCACCGGAGUUAAGCAACGUCAAGCCCGGCCAGUACUUAGAUGCGUGACCGGUUGGGAAUACCAGUUGCUGUAAG